rnacentral:rRNA from 1 species
AGGGCACCACCAGGAGUGGAGCCUGCGGCUUAAUUUGACUCAACACGGGAAAACUCACCCGGCCCGGACACUGGAAGGAUUGACAGAUUGAGAGCUCUUUCUUGAUUCAGUGGGUGGUGGUGCAUGGCCGUUCUUAGUUGGUGGAGCGAUUUGUCUGGUUAAUUCCGAUAACGAACGAGAUUCUAGCCUACUAAAUAGAUCGUCGGCUUACAAACGCUGAUGAGACUUCUUAGAGGGACAGGCGGCGAUUCAGCCGCACGAAACAGAGCAAUAACAGGUCUGUGAUGCCCUUAGAUGUCCGGGGCCGCACGCGCGCUACACUGAAGUGAUCAGCGUGCAUUUUCAGCCUACUCUGCCAAGAGUGGGAAACCCAAUGAACCUUCUUCGUGAUUGGGAUAGGAGAUUGUAAUUAUUCUCCUUGAACGAGGAAUUCCCAGUAAGCGCGAGUCAUAAGCUCGCGUUGAUUACGUCCCUGCCCUUUGUACACACCGCCCGUCGCUACUACCGAUUGAAUGUUUU